rnacentral:lncRNA from 1 species
CCGCCUUGUUUUGUAUGGCAACUAAAUCUGUGUAAUUGUCUCGGCAGAAUCUUCUAGCCCUUUGCCAGUUCAUGGGUUUUUCAGAAUAAUGGUAAGUCCAGCAGUCGGUUCCAUGAUGUGCCAGGAAAUCACAACAGAGCAUUGUCCACCCCCACAACUUGAAGAUGUUCCAUAAGUCCCUCUGGGUGCUCUGACAUUUCCAUGGAAAUAUCAUGGCUUUGCUUGGUCCUUCUCUAGUUCUUCUGCAGCCCAUUGAGCCUCUUGACUUAGCACAAGGGUCUCAGGUCCUUGCCCAAAGGGAGUGUGCUGUGCUG